UACCUGGUUGAUUCUGCCAGUAGUCAUAUGCUUGUCUCAAAGAUUAAGCCAUGCAUGUCUAAGUAUAAGCAAUUAUACCGCGAAACUGCGAAUGGCUCAUUAUAUAAGUUAUCGUUUAUUUGAUAGCACAUUACUACAUGGAUAACUGUGGUAAUUCUAGAGCUAAUACAUGCUAAAAAUCCCGACUUCGGAAGGGAUGUAUUUAUUAGAUUAAAAGCCAACGCCCUUCGGGGCUUCCUGGUGAUUCAUAAUAACUUUUCGAAUCGCAUGGCCUUGCGCCGGCGAUGGUUCAUUCAAAUUUCUUCCCUAUCAACUUUCGAUGCGAAGGUAUUGUCUUCGCAUGGUUGCAACGGGUAACGGAGGGUUAGGGCUCGACCCC
rnacentral:rRNA from 1 species